rnacentral:rRNA from 1 species
GAUGAACGCUAGCGGGAGGCUUAACACAUGCAAGUCGAGGGGCAGCACGAGGUAGCAAUACUUUGGUGGCGACCGGCGCACGGGUGAGUAUCGCGUAUGCAACCUACCCUAUACAGGGGGAUAGCCCGGAGAAAUUCGGAUUAAUACCCCAUAACGAUAUUAGAAGGCAUCUUCAUAUAUCUAAAGCUACGGCGGUAUAGGAUGGGCAUGCGUAACAUUAGCUAGUUGGUAGGGUAACGGCCUACCAAGGCUACGAUGUUUAGGGGACCUGAGAGGGUGAUCCCCCACACUGGUACUGAGACACGGACCAGACUCCUACGGGAGGCAG